GUUAUAUUGAGACGAACGAAUGCCCUGCUGUCCAAUCACUUGCCACCAAAUUUAUGUCCUGUCCGGUGUAUAUUUGGCCAGAUUGUUGAAGUAGUGUGCCGCAAGCUGACUCCCUUAUAGAUGACACCGUACAACCACUUCACACACUCCAAAAAUGUUAAGUGCUUGAUAUCUGAAGAAGCAAAGAGUACUAAAGUUUUGGCAUAUAUUACUGCCCUUCAGAAAUUAUGCAACCAUCCGAAGAACUUAUUAUCCCCACGACCACUGCCAUGGACUUUGUGGCCCGCCUGCUUAUCCUUGAUGUGGCUACAAUGCGCGAACCAGUGUUCGACUUUGAACGCCGACAUGGACGGCGGCCUCAAGUGCUACACCAUCUUCUUGGUAUGCAGACCAGCACCACUGGGGGCUUAGCCAAGUUGUUUUUUUUACCUAUUUAACAACUAAGCGCUAGAUAUUGUCAACAGAUAAAUUUGGAUGGGUAGGAUUUUACUAAUGUUUAUUGAUGAUGCUUUGUUUCAGGAUAUGUGGAGAGGCUUUUUGCACUGCAGUUCAAGACAUACUGUAGAUUACAUGGCUAAAGAAAAUUAUUUACGAUUAAUAAAUCAUGUUCUUGCUAAAUUAUUAAGUGUUCAAGCAUGCCUACUAUGAUCCCGUGCUUCCUCUUUGUGUAUGGCUUGCUGUGAAAACACUAAACAUAACAUGUGCUUGAUUAAUUCAGUAUACUACUUCUCUUAAGAAGGUUAGGGUCAACGAGGAAGCACAUAACUGUGUUUGAUGCAUUCUUCAGGUUGAGGGUCUGAUAAUGGACUUAACACAACUGCUGGAGAGAGAUUAAAAUAUUGAAUAUGGUAGCAGAGGAGGAAGCUGAAGUUGGUAGAUUAAUAGAGCGAGAGUUCCAGACCCAGCAAGCGAUGCAGAGAAACAAGACAAAUAACUACGAAGUAGUAGAUCAUAGAAAGGACUGGUGUCAAUUGAUCAGUCAUAGUCAAAGAAUGAUAUGGAAAUUAAACUAAGCAUGACAUGUCGGAAUAAUAGCAGAACCAGAGCAAGAGAAAAAAGUUGAUUAGCAGGUCGACAGUGAUGCCUGCUAAGAGAGAAUCCACACGUCCAUCCUUUUGCCACUGCUGAAGCCCCACAUCCUCGAUCUCGACACGCUUGCCUGCCAUCCUGGCCGACGUCCUCGCUAUGGCCCCCAAGCCACGCAACCACCUCGCCAGCUGUUGCUAGAGCCGAGCGCGUUGGCAGACUCCGCACCCAAGGUAAUACUUUCAGUCACGCUUAUGAACAAGUUUUUUUUCUACCAAAACAUAGGUUUCAUUUCUGGGCAGCAUGUUCCUCCCCAGGCAUCAACAAUGUGCAACAGUUGAGCCAAAGGGUGGGGUUGCUAGCUCCCUUGCGGUUAAUUUUCAUUCGAUUUUCCUGAAACAUUACAUAUGUACAUAAUUGUAACCCGGCCUAAGCUUCCUAGAAAUACAUGUCUCUCUAGGAAGUUUGGAUAUGUUCUAACUCUUCUCAGUUAGGGUUAACUGGAUAUGUUCUAACUCUUCACAACGAGAGUAUAUAUUCAUCUUGGAAAUUUGUCAGUGAUGUAACGUUUUGUGUACAAGCUGAUUCAUCUUUUUGGUCAGGUUUUUAGUUGAUGAAGGACGAAGUCUGCACCAAGAAGACCAUUCUGAUGGAUUCAAGAGAAUCAAAAGUGAAGAAUCAAGUUACAAUAAAUAUGUCGAUUACAAAUAUGCCUACAGAUACACAAGUGGUUUUCAGAUAUCUUUGCUUGAUUUGGAGCUGCUCAAAGAAAAAGGAUGGCCACAUAUAUAUGGUAGUUACUUCCAUGUCACAAAGGUG